rnacentral:rRNA from 1 species
UGGGGAAUAUUGCACAAUGGGCGCAAGCCUGAUGCAGCCAUGCCGCGUGUGUGGAGAAGGCCUUCGGGUUGUAAAGCACUUUCAGCGGGGAGGAAGGCGAUAAGGUUAAUAACCUUGUCGAUUGACGUUACCCGCAGAAGAAGCACCGGCUAACUCCGUGCCAGCAGCCGCGGUAAUACGGAGGGUGCAAGCGUUAAUCGGAAUUACUGGGCGUAAAGCGCACGCAGGCGGUCUGUCAAGUCGGAUGUGAAAUCCCCGGGCUCAACCUGGGAACUGCAUUCGAAACUGGCAGGCUAGAGUCUUGUAGAGGGGGGUAGAAUUCCAGGUGUAGCGGUGAAAUGCGUAGAGAUCUGGAGGAAUACCGGUGGCGAAGGCGGCCCCCUGGACGAAGACUGACGCUCAGGUGCGAAAGCGUGGGGAGCAAACAGG